GGAAGGGUCGGCGCUGGCGGGCGGCUUUCUGUAGGGUUCGCGUAUUGUGCGCCCUCCGCCGCCGCACUGUGGGACUGGAGCAGGGAACUGCUGUGGGAAGAGUGCCUUCUGAUCAUUCUGUUAAGCUUUUGUCUUCUCCUGAGCUCCAGUAUCUGUCAAGAGACCAUUUGUGAUUGGUAAAAGAUAACAGGUAACUACUGUGUGUAGAUGAUAGGAUAAGCUUCCCUAUACUCACUGCUUCAGAUCUGCCACACUGAUUUUUUUGGUCAUUUUAUAAUUCAUCUUUUAAACACUUCAGUGACCUUUCUCAGUCAGAUUUCCAGUUGAUUGCUGUGAAUACCUUUGCACCAUCUGCACACUUUGUCAACUGUAUGGUCACUUCAUUUGCAGCCUUUUUUUAGAUGUUGAUGACUUUAUCCUUUAGAAAAUACUAAAACUAUUUCUUAAUCAUUGUUUCCUACCUUUAGUUUAUUAUUAGUCCAUAAAAUGCUAUUCAUCACCCAGAGAUAAGUAUGAAAGUACAGAGAGAAGAGGAUUCAGAACAAAACAGUGAUCAUGGACACUGGUAGUCUGGAAGUCAUCAAAUGAGUGGGGCCUGAUUGCCAACUUGGAAAGUUUGGCUUUAAGUGUACAGUCACUUACUGAUGUGGAGGCAAGUUUUUGUUCAGGUAUGUUACCAUCCAUGAAGUGUUGGCAUUAGAAUAUAGAAACAUUAUAGAAUAUAUAGAAUAUAGAAAAUAUAGUAUGUAAUGUAUAGAAAUAUGUAUCUACCUAGAACUGAUACAGAAGAUAGGGAAGAAAUCUAAAAGAAGCACCUUACCAAUUUUGAAGAGAGAAUUUAAAAAUAAUUACCUUGCCACAUGCACUUUUAGUCUUUAUCCUGAGAACAGAAAACUUAUGUAAUUUUGCAAUUUGCAGUUGUCUUUCUGUCUGCCUGGCAUAAUUUCUCCAGGUAGUUUUAGAACUCAUGAUCACUAUCAACCAAUUUAAAAGAGGGUUACAGGUUAUUACAUUACUGCAAAUCAAAUUAAAACAGGUCGGAACUCAGUGGAUUCUAAGUGGGAGCAAAACUCCAGUGUGUGUGCAGUUCACACUGGGAGACUGACCUGAGAAAGUUGAGUCAGAACUCUCCUGUUCUUGGAAAUAUUUGUUACAAUCAUAUAUGGAUAGUUCCUGAAAUCUGUAAAUGCAUACUUCAGCAACGGGAAAACUACUACCUAUCUACAGAGGAAUAAUUAUUUCUCUCUUAUGAGUGAGACUCAAAGCCCUUUCAAGCUUUUGAUGCUCUAGUGCAAGAUAAAAAAAUAAAAUAAAAUAAAAUAAAAAUAAAAAAGCAUUCAGUUUAUUUGCUGAAUGUCAUUUUUCACAUAGUCUCUGAGCUGCUCACAGUGAUGGUAGCUAAUGGCUUCUCAAAAAGAGAAUACAGAAAAUAUGCUUUUUGAGAGUAAAGCAAAUGAACAAAGAGAGAGUUUAUAAGAAUCCUAAACACAGAUUUAUGCCAUGUCCCUGAAAGUUAUACCAAAUUAUGACUAAAGAGAAGGAUACAGUAACAGUUUUAUUGUUACCAUACAUCUGUUACUGUGACAAAGAAAAACCCCAACCAUUUAUUUAACACCAGCACAAAACUGACAGCAGUAUUUUCCAUUAUCACAAAUGAAGUUAAACUUGUGUGAAUGUUGCUUUGAUAUUAUUGCACAAGUAGUUACUAUUUAACAUUAGUAGAAAUUAAAAUCUCCUACUUUGACAUUUUCUUGUAUCAUUGAGUGAGCAAUGCCCAUGCUGAUAAAGUGUAGUUUUCUGCAAUGUAUCCAGUGUAUUAAAUGAAUUGGUUGCCUCAAUGCAGUUGAGACACACUUUUCUUUAGGAUUUACUAAAAAGCCUGACCAAAGGACUUCUUAAUGUCUAGAGUAAAGAAAUACUCAGCAGUUUCUUCAGCUCUAUCCUAACAAAAGCAAACCAUCAAGCCUUUUACAUUACAGACAAAACCACAGUAGCUGCCUAUAACAUGAGUUCCUUGUUGAUAAGAAGGAAGGAACUAACCAGCUAGAGGAACUAACAAGUCCCUUAAGAACACUCUGGUCUGCUUUUUACAUUGUUUCUACCUAUUUAACAUAUUAAAAUCUGAUAUAGCUAAUUUUUUUUAAUUAAUUGAUUUUAAUUUAAGGAUUUUCCUUCUUUGAUAAGGAUUUUUUUCUUUGAAAAGCUUUACAAUGAGUAAUGUACUGAACUGUCUAAACAGAUGUGAGAGUGAUUGUUUACAGUAAAUUUAGGAUUUGAGUUCUUUUGUAUGUUUUGAUAAAAUCAUAGCAUUAUAUUUAGGGGCAAAAAAAAAAGCCCUCUCACAAGCUCCAUUGUCACAUAUAGGUAAAACCUUACAAAAGAAAGGCCUUGUAAAAUCAUGGUUCAGGCCUUGUUACUUCGGCUAAGUUUAGCUAGCAGCUAGCCUGGUAAGUUCCCAUGCAAAAACAUCUUGAGAAUAAAAAGUUCGUUAACAUAACAAACUAUUCUUGGGGAGAAGAACAAGUGAGUCUGUAAUAGCAAGGGAUCUGUUCUAUGAGAAUCAGUAGAAAAAAUAUGUAAACAUUGUUGGAGAGAAAAGUUUUGAUUAACAUGUACACUCACCAUUACCAACCAAUUAACUGAGUUCCUAACCAAUUGGAAUUAAACACGGUGCCUUCUGAUAACUAUAUAAAUAUAAGCUGUAUGCAAUAAAGAUUGAGCUGUGAUGGGAGAAGAAACAGGUGUCACUCUCUGUCUCUACUACGACAGUUCAUAACAUUUUCCUUAUGAAAUCGUAAUGGACAUUUGUGAUUCUAACAUUUGUGAAAUGGGUACCAUCUGAAGCACCAAUUCAGAUCUCUAUAGUGGCCAGACAGAGCUAGAGGGACAGUUGGAUGUAUUCACCUGUGCCAUCUUUGGCUCCCCUCAACAACCCUAAUGUGGCAGACUGCAGGCUUUUGCUCCAUCAGCCUUUUCAAACCUUGCUGACAUACUCAAUGCUGCCAGCAUCAUGUGAUGAUGCCCUUGUAUCAUGAUAAGAAUGCUUAUGCAGCUUACUCCUAUCUGGCUUUCAUGCAAUGCAUUUAGCAUGUUCCAGGAGUGAGAGGAACUGGGCAAAUGGAAAAGGAGGGGGAGCUGUAUCUCCCUGCAGCAGGAUCUGUGAGGCACAACAGGAUUUCCAAUAACACAGGUUCCUGUUCUGAUGGCAUGUCAAGCUUCCAGCCAUACUCUACAUUUUCCCAGUCCUUCCUCAGGUUUCUUUCACUAAAAAUCCUUUUGUCUAUCCAGCACUACUCAGAUGUAUUGAGAUCUACUCAGUAAUUUUACCAGGGGCUAAUUUUUUAUUGACACCUACUCAGCAUGCAGAAACACAAGAACUCUGUUUUCAGUUCUGCCAGGUGAUGUGAUGUGUGGCUGCUGGGCUGUAACCUCAGCACCAUCUCAUGUCUGGCCUUGCCAGGAGAACAGCACAGAAGAAAUUACCUCCUGGAGGACUAUCAUGUGUUUAGGACUUCAGUGGAGCUAUUGAAGUUCCUGUACCUAUUUUAUUUCCUCUUUCUACCCUGUUGUCAGGGUGCUGUGUGGACUGGGGUCCCAGGGGCCAGCUGUGCACUCCAGGCCAGGUGCUCCCCAGUCAGGAGCAGGGCACUGGGAGCACCAGGGACAGCCCUAGCCCUGGAAUCAGGCACCACCCUAACAAGGACAGGCUGGGACAGGGACCCUUAAGUAUGCCCAGCUUGGAGGGGCCCAUGGCUGGGGGGCAAGGCUGUGGGGAGCUGGAGAUUGGCUCUGCUCUUUCCCUGUAAAGCUGCUGUUACAUUUCCUAGCUCUUCACCCUUCCCACAUCUGCUGCUCACUUCAGGAGGGAGAGGACUGGCCUCCCUGGAGACUGGAUGUACCUCCACCUCCCUGCCUGCUUCCUCUCCCAAGCAGCCAGAUUCACUCCACUAGCCAGGCAUGGCAUGGCUGGGGCAUUUCACAGAGGAAAAGAUGUAGAGCUCUCUGUCAUCUCAUGCUUUGCCAUUGUUUGAGAGGGGAAGCUCAAGAUGUCUUCUAAGAAAAAGUUCUUCUCAAAUGCCUAAUGUUAUUCUUCCAAUCCUCAAAAUUGAUGUGAUCACAACCAAACAUAAUUGGAUACUAAGGUAUAAUAAUUUUACAUCUGUCUUUCAAAAGGGCUUCUCUUGUAUUUUUAAAGGGAAGUAACUCAUACUUAUCAACAAAUUUAAAUUACUAAUGUUCUCUUCAGUUUUAAUUAUCUAUUAUAUUACUUGUACAACAAGUAUUCUAGGUGAUGAUAUUGUAGAAUACUGCUAUUACAUUUAAUGUAUCGUAUUUUCUCCUCAAAGGACCUACUUUGCAGGUCAGUAUGUACAUGUUUCCUAGAGUAUUUUAUACAAAGAUUUUGAAAAUUACCUUAUAAAAAUGCAAUUCUACUGCCUUCUUCUUACAAUGCAAUAAACAAUACCUGAAUAAAAUCUUAGCAGUUUAAAUUAUUAAUAUAAUAGGGCUAUAAAAUUAUAAAAUGGGAAAGGUGAAAACAUUUUUCCUUCAACAGAUAAAAUUAAACAGAAAAUAAACAUAUACAAGUUGAUCGAUGUAUUAUUGUUAACAUUUUCACAAAGCCUGUCAGGCCAUCUUUCUAAUGCUUUAAUAAAUCUGAUGGUUUAUUUACUGAUCCAAGUCCUAGCUGUAAAAUCUUCAUUUAUGCCUGCUGGGCUAUCAAAUGUUUGCUGGGUAGAUCAGUUAUUACAGGUAUGUUUGUAAUGGACAUAUGUAAUAAAGAUAAUUGGUUCAGUUCAGAUACACAAUCUAAUGCUACACUUCAAAAACCUAAAGGAGGUUUUUUUCUUGAUUUUUUUCUGGCUGUAUGGCAGUGCCGGCCUUGAACUUCAAACUGAAGCCGUGGUCAGACUGAUCCUGUAGACAAAUUCGAAAUAUGUAUGCUCUCUUCCAUUAUACAAAACAGAAACAGCAAAAAAAUUAGUAUGAAAAAUCUAUUUCAAAGCCAUACUUUAGACAGGUCUAUGAGGUGUUUAAACAUAAACCUCAGACUUACAGUAUUUGAAGUUGCACCAUGUAUUAAUGUAUGCAUAUGUGAAUACAAGUCUGUAUUUCUGUAUAGUUUCCAAAAAAAUGAGGGUCUUGAUAUUGUUGCCAGUACAUUUACUGUGAUCAAAACACAGUAGGAGAGGAAGGAGGUAUUUUGCAGACAUAAGCACAGCCUUUUGUUGGCUAGAAAGGCCUGCUAGCGUUUUAUACAAGUCUUCUUGGCAAAGACUAGAGAAUUUUAAGACAUUCAUAAUGAUCAGAACUUCCUGUACAUAUCCAGACCCAUACAAUUUUAUCCAGUUUCUUUUUGCAGAGAAAAGAGGAGAGGAAUUUUAGUUCUCAAAAAAAUGCAAACCAAAUCAACAAAACCAAGAAAAAGCCCCACCCCAUAUCCAGCUUUAUUUUUGGCCUAUUUUUAUAUUUUAUACCCUGUAAUUCUGCCAUGUUUCUUUUUAAAAUACUACAAGAAUAGAUCCUCCUGUAAGAAAAAUGCAUUUGACACACUUAUUUUAUUCUAAAAUCAAAGCGUUAUGUGCCAUUUUGACAGAAAACAUUAAACUUAUUGCAUAAUUUUGAGGUGACUUUAUGGCUUCAUUGUGCAGCCACAGGUGAAGCUUCUAGUUACUGUAAUGAGGUGGGCUUUUUGGUGUCUUGGGAUCAUAGGAUCAGAUGUUAAUUUGGAGGAGGAGUCAUAUUCCUAAAGAAUCUUUCAAAAUGCAUCCUAUGAAACAGCAUGCUUAAAUAUUCAGUAUUUAAAAAAUAAAUAAGCUACACCAACAGUCAGGAUUUUCCAUUUUCUAUUUAUUGCACUUAGCAGUUCUGCAUUUUCUGUGGAUUUAAUGAUUUCUUAUGUAAAAUCCAUGCUAAAUUCUCAUUAGACUUUUCCUCAGAAUAAAGUUGAUCUUGCCAUUUAUUCACAGUCUCUAACCUUUUGUGAACAUAUGUCUGGAAGGGAUGGCCUGAAUCAUUGAGCUCAGCCUUCUCUGCAGAAAACCUCACCACAUAAAUGUGUUCAUAUAUUCAAUUCUGAAAUUUGUUGGGCUUUUCUACCCACAGCUCCUGUAGAGAGACAUGUCCAGAACCACAAUAUUCAAAUGCCUAGAAACAUCCUGACUUCCUCCUUAAUUACAUUUAUGUUUAUAUUCAUCUGUUUCUGGGCCAGCAAUUUCCUAUGGCUUAAAAUAGGUCUCUGCUUUAUGAGGGUGCUAAGCUGGAUGUAAUCUAUGCACAGACAGCAAUCAUACACCACUCAGCCUUUCUGCCAUUAAGCAAUUUUUAAAUUUUCAUUGCUCAGUCCACUGAAUUUUUUGCACUUUUCUCAGUUUAUAUUCUGAACUAGAAUUGUAUGCAGUCUACAAGACACAGUGGUACUUCCCAGUCUCUACUGGGAAUAUUUUACAGUCCUGCAUUUAACAUUUAGUUGGCUGAAUUAUACUAGUGUCUCAUAAUGACCAUAAUUAAUAAUUAUAAUUCGGCAUUUCCAAAUAAUUGCUUCCCUUAUAUGAAUUCUCCCUAUUUUACCAGAAAAUCUUGUUAUUAAUCCCUAAGGACAUGGCCUUCUAUUUGUAUUAAAUUCAACACUACUUCCAUAGAUCACCUGUUUUAUAGGAUUGAAAUUUUUGAUAGGGCUCAUUGUGAGCAAUGCCUCUGUUCUUGCCAUUAUCAAGUCUAAUUAGCACAUUCUUAUUUUUGUGUCAUUGUCUUUGUUAAAUAAUAUUGGCCAAAUGUUGGUAUAAGGAGCCUCCACUGAAUUUUCUCUUUGGUCUCAUAGUCCUCUUUCCAGCACAGAGCUAUUCUCAUCCCUCUUUUAGCCACUUCUUUAUCUAACUUACAUUUCUUGUGCAAUUUCCCAUUUCACCUAAUAAUCUCACAAGUGCUACACUGUCAAAUGCUUUACUGUAAAGAUAAAAAUUAAUUGUAUCUAAUAGGUUUCCAUCAUAAAAAUUCUGCUGCUGUUAACAUACACUCACAGUCUGUCUUUGGUAAACUUUUAUCUCAUCUUCCAUUUAUUUCCAUAGUGUUCAUUAACUUCGAGCUUUAUUUUUAAGUUUUGUGUGCUGUUGUAGAUUAAUGGAAUAAUUGCAAAUAUAGCAAAUGUUCAUAAAAUAAAAGUGAAGCUUGUUAUAUAGCACCAGCACAAUACAACAGGUGGAUUAAAAUCUCAACCACAAGCCAUAAAACUUAAUUCCCUAGUUUUUUCACUAGUCAGUAAUGCUUCCCAUCCCUUUGAACAAGCUGAGCUCUCCUAGUUUAGCUUCCAUCCCACAGUUCUUUUCACUUUGCGUAUAUUCUCUCCUGGCUUUGACUUUCCUUACUACAUCUUUGUCUGUUCUGAAAGCUGCAAAAAUUACUCAUUAGGCUGGGACAUACAUCUAGGUCAUACUAAACCUUUAGGGCUCCCCCUUCUUUAUGUGCUAGUUGCAAUGUGCUGCCUAUAUUGCUAAAUAGUCUUUUUACUUUUUGUUUCAGUCUUCUGCAAGAUCUAGCUCUGAAUUAGGUUUGGCAAAUCUUCCUUGAGUCUGCACCUCCAAGACUCCAAAUCAUAGCUUUCUGGAUUUAUUCAUUUCCCUUCUCCAUUCUAUACAGAGCUUUUCCUUGUUUUUUCUCUGACUGUGAAGGUAGUUACUCAUCCCUCUUUCAUACUUGGAAUGUAAAUUCCAGACAUUUUUUGUAUUUGUGUUAAAUUCCAGAUCUCUGUCAUGUUUAAGCCUCUGAUUUAUUACCUCAAUUACUAUGUUUAAUUUAUCAGUGUUUGUUCUUAUAGUAUUAAAAAAGCCCUCCAAAACUUUGCCAAAACAGUUUUGUUUACUCUUCCAUUUCAUUUGGAUUUUUCAGCCAGGUGGGGAUGGAGAGAGGACUGUUCUGAUCUUACUUUUAACACAACCAGUUUCCUCCCCAUCUUUACUACCUACACAAAUUAGUUUAAAAUAGCAUCAGAUUGUACCAAAUAAGAAAAUAAAAAAGCUUUUGUUGUCACUCACACAAGUACCUGAGCUGUAGUGGCAUUAGCAGCCCAUGUUUUUCACUAUACAGCUGCAUUUUUUAAUCUCUCUUCAACCUUGUCAGAAAUCUUCCUCAUCCCCAUGUUUGGCAACAGCUGAGCUGAGAUGCCUGCAUAUUUUCCGUUCUCCAAUCUCCAUUUGUGCUGCAAAAUUACAUUUAUUCAGCUGCCAGCUAGACCAUAAACUUUCCUCAGUUUUCUAGAAAAUUUCAAUUUGUAAAUAAUAUCAUAUAGAUAUCCAUUAUUGGUAUUGAAAAGUUUAUUACCAGAAAAUUUGCAUAAAGCUUGAGUUGUAUGUCACCUCUCUGCAGGAAUGCUGAUUGCUGUCACUAGACAACUGAUAUGACAGGCAUUGAAGCUAGUUGAUAAAUAUACAGUUAAAAAAAAAUCUACAAUAUAAUGACCUGAAAUCCUGCUGUCCUCAACUAUUACACUGUUCUUUCAGCACACUGAAGAUUAUUAAGCCUAUAAAAAGCCCAACCUAAUAUACCUAAAUUAUGGAUGGUAUCACUAAGUCAUAAUACUAUAUUAACUGGGACUAAUCAAUUAUAUAUUUAUUAAAAUUUAAUCCUCUAUCUUACUAGCAGUGCAAGUCCUAUCAUACAGACUGCAGUUACUCUGCUGAUGUGCUGUUCCUUUCGACCCUAACAGCAUCAGUAUGCUGCACAACCUUGAAAAUAGGAGAAUGCACAGGUAAGUAUGCUUGGUAAGCCCUAUAACAGCAAUUGGAAAUGUAAUUUUCAAGUAGAGAAGAAAGAACAUUAAUUUUAUUUUUAUGGUUCUUCCUCAAAGAACCAUAGGUAUGUCCUCAAAGGUAUGUCUGUACUUUUUUCAUGCACUUCUUUUUCUCCUUACCUGUCCCUUAGUGUUUUGCUAUGCCCAUUAAAUUGCAUUAAAGCAGUUCCUUUGGCUCAGAAGGCUGGAACCAGUUGUACAUUCAAUAAAUGUAUUAGGAGGAAGAAUAAGGAUGAUGGCAAUUCAAACCUAGUUCCUAGCACAAGAAUAAUAGCCUAAACCAAAUAAUUUGAAUGCCCAUAUACCUGCAUCAGGCUAAGAGUGAAAAUAUACAUACAAUUUUAUGUUCUGUAGCUUAUUUUACAUACUCAUACAGGAGUGGAGCAGUUUGAAAUUUACAAAUUCCCAAGGAAACUGAGUAGUUCAAAAAUCUGUUAGUCUGUACCACAAACAUGAAUAUGCACAACUUUAUCAAAAUGUUUUCAACCAUCUUCAUUCCUAUGUGAACAGGAGGUUGGACUAGAAGAUGUUCUGAAGGCUCUUCCAAGCUGACUCAUGUAUCCUGUAUGAAUUCUCUCUCUUUAGAAUUCUCUCUCUCCACACCCAGACGUGCACAAAACCAGAUGACAAUCCUUUGUCAUAAAGCUCCUAGCACAGAUCUGCCUCCCAUACAUAUUUAUUCCCUUUUUAGUACUCAAGCUCAGGAUGAUCAUUACCACACAUGACCAUCUGCUCACAAAUGGCCAGGCAUAUAUUGUUAAUUUUUUUUUUUUCCAGACACUCAGUAUUGUACACCAAUAAUUUAUCUCAUUUUCUAUCCCAAAUACUCUUUCUUCCCUUAUUAAAUGUUACUUUCUUUUAUAAUUCCCCACAGAUUCUUCAUUACUUUCUCUCAGAUCAUAAAUUUUGUUCAAAGCAGUUGGGCUUUCAUGAACCCUGAGUUCAUUUUUUCAACUGCAGCCAUUAUCUGAAAUACUUUCUACCCAUCUGGCUAUAUCAGUUUUUUUGGACAGAGGACUUCUCACCUAUUUUCAUGACUUCACUUUAUUUACAAGAAGUGUCAUGUAAGUAUGGACAACUUCUAAGAUGCUUCAGUGACAGUUUCUUAUUCCAUACACUUUCCUUUGAUAAACAAUUCUUGUCUACUCUUUUCAUUAUUAUGCACAUUAGAUAUGACCUUUCUAUAAUUUAGCCUAGAAAUCAGGUUACCAUUCUGAACUAGAAAACAGAUAUAUAUAAAAAAUACCAAAAAAGUCCAUACAGUAGUAAAUAGGAAGGCAGAAAACAAUUGACCCAAUUAAUUAAUGACUAAGACAUUAUUGUUAGUGUUCAUCAGUAUAUCCAGAAAAACUUCAUUAAAGUAUAGCUAAUCAUGGUAGACAAUCUUGUGCUGAAAGCAGUGCAACACUGCAGCUGUAUUUCAUAGGAAUCACAACCAUUGAUACCUGAUAUUUAGGGCUGCUCAAAGUCCUAAAAUGCAAAUAACACUUAAAUGGCAUUCUACCAACUCUGCUAUCAAAAGGGUAUCAGUGAGUUUUAGAAUUAAGUACUUCUGAGCGAAGCACAUUGCUGUUUUAAUGAAGAAAGUACAGCAUAUGCUUAAAUCAAAAACUUCUGGCACCUUCACACUGAAAGGGGAAGCUGCACUCCGCCCCAAACUAUGUUACAGCCUUUGGCAGAAGCAUGCGGUAGCCUCAUAUGAACUGCGGAAUCUCUAAACACUGUCAGAGCAGCCCUCAUUUAGGAAGAGCUACAUAAAGCAGGCGCUGCUAGGUUCAUCCAAGUUCAUUUACAGAACACUGCACCUUCAGUUUGUGAGUUGGUAUCUCAUAUUUGUUAGCAAAAAAUCAGGAACACUACGCUAGAAAGGAAAGAGACUCCAAUGUUGACAUUAUAGAAGUUCUUGAACUGCCAUAAUCCUUAAUGGAGGCCCUGUACUAGAGUACCACUACAGAAAUAUGAACCCUGAAGACUUUAAGACCUUGUCUGUAAAGUAUCCUGUUUUAAAAUACUAAGAUCAGGUUUUUUCUUUGGCUGCUAGAAGUAAUUACUUUCUAUUGCUAUUCAGUAAAUAACUAUUUCAAAAAGGUAAAUUACUAGGACUAGCAGUCACAGACGAGCCCAGAGAGAAGGACAUUCAGAUAAUCAGCAUAGUGAGUUAGUGACUUGUCAGAAACAUAGAUGAGAUGGGGAGAGGUGCUUGGAGGGACUAAGGAGGAAAGCAGUAAGAAAGGCCAAACUUAGAAAAUGUCAAUAAUGUCGUAAUUAAUAGCUGUAGCCAAAGAGAGUUUGCUGGUGAUAGAAUUUGUUCUUCUCAAUUAAAAAGAAACAGAGUAUUUUCUUGUGUUGUUUUUCCCUGUUAUUCAGGAACCCCCUUCUUCCCUGGGGUUACCAGCUGUGUUUUGAUAGUCAGAUCGGGUGGGAGAUUUCUCCAGCAGCAGAUUCUGACAUCUUUUUUUCCUGUCAAGGAAAGAGCUUGACAGUCAUCAGUUCCGUUGCUUGUCAAAAGGGAAUCUGUUUGCUCCUUGUCAAAGUGCCUGCUCUGCAUUUAUUACCUUUGUUUGGAUUUAUUUUCCUUUUCAAUUAUGUUUUCUGCACACAAGGAUUCUCACCCUCUCAAAAAAACCUGCAGGUAAACCCAUCAGAUGGCACUACUAGAAGGGAUUUGAGGUCUGAUGAUCAUCAGGCUCCCUCCAUCCUGUACAUUUCCCCCCUGCCCCACCACAACUGGGGUGGAGUGACAGGCAGCUCCAAGGACAAGAGUCAUUUAUUUAUCUGCAAUGUCUGGCCCCACCACGCCCAGCCAUGGGGCAGAGAGCCCCCGCAGCAACUUUAAUUGUGGCCUUUCCUUCACUGAAGUUGAUGACAAAGAUGACUGGCAAACCCAAGACUCUAUUACUUCUCAUUCCCAACAAGCCAUGAAGUGCACAGUGGUAGAUUAGUCAGUGAAGCAAUUGAGUUUUUCAGAGUACUGUGUGUGAUUUGUAAUUCUGUAACCCUGCAGUUUUCUAAGUGGUGGUUCAGAACUAAAAUGAAGAUAACAUUUCUUUCCUCUGCUGAAAUCAAAUAAUUCUAUUUAUUGAUGGCAUUCCUAAAUUAUUUAAUUGCAAAGGAGAAAAAGCCUUCUCUCAAAUAUCCAACUACCUACCAUAAUUUUUCCUUUUUUUUAAAAUUAUUUCACCUUCUCAAAACAUGUUUGGUGAUGGUGAAAGCAUUAUUUAUUUGAUAUUACUUCUAAUUUGCAAUGGUAUAGUUAAUAAAAUUAGUAAAAUUACAGAAAUACAGCUGAACCGUGGCUAAUGUUUAAUGACAAAAAAUGGCAGUAGUAGCUUAAAACCUUCUUAAUACCCCUGUGCCCCCCAGCUUCGCCACCACAAUUGCUUGCACGACUUCUUAACUAAGGCUCAUUAAAAAGUUGUCAGCACUAAGUCAAGGAACUGACUGGAGUUAAAAAAGAAUUAUUGAUUGUGAUAAUCACUAGCACAUUCAGUUGCUAGCACAACUGAAUGGCUGGCAUACCACAGGCAGAAGAGGGAACAGGAGCAGGGAAGCAGGAAUAUCUCAUGCUGAUAGUGGUGCCUGGACAGCAGCAAAAUAGCAGCCUGUGCAAGAUCAAAACUGAGAGAAGGAUUGGAACGCCCAUUGAGCCAAUCCUCAAUUAUCUAUGAUUAGAUUAUCUUCAUUGCAGAUUAUCUGUGCCACAAAUGUACAACGAACCACCCUUACUCCAGCACAGGUAUUAGCUGAAGCCCAUGACUGUACAAACAUCUAUUGCAAGACUGUGCCUGGCUUGGAAACAAUACGUGCACCUUCCUGCAGAGCCAGAGACCAUAAAUUCUGCCAAACCAAAGUGGCCUCUGAAAAAACAGCUGAAGUUUUUCCUCACUGUGUUUCCAGAACCAGGAGUGACAGACAGAAAGCUGCAGUCACACCACAUUGCUUCCCCUCAGGAACAGCUCAAACGUAGCUGGGCUUCAGGCCAGCUGUAGGCGCCUUCAUGUGGAAAUGAUCCCCAGCAGGCAGGAUUAUGGGAGGCCUUUUAGGUCAGGUGAAUACGAUCCACAUGCACGGAUCCGGUUUGGAUAUCUGACCCAGGCAACUGGGGAGAUAGCAUUGAAACAUCAGCAGCAAGAAUCCUGGCCAGUUUCUGGAAGAAAAUAUGGGAGCAGAAUGAAAACACCAAAAUGUCAUAAGUGACACCACCAGUGAGGAAUUUACACUAUAAAGUAUUGCUUGCAAAAGAAAAUGGGAAACAUUACAAUUAGGAGGAGUAGGGUGUUGAGAAGGUUCCAUCUUUGGGUCAGCUCCAGCUCAAUUGAGCUGCAUGACCCUGAGGAUUCAGAUGAAGUUAUAAGGCGAUUCUUUCUUGGUUGUUACGGUGCUAACACUGUUUACAAGCACAGCUGUUGCCUACCAACUAUGAUCACCUCUCAGUGUGGAGGUACGUUUUAGUUCUGGAUAGCAUUUUUGUAGCUGAUUAUUCUGUUUUAUUGUAUUGCACCAUAAAUGUGCUUACCAUUUUGGAUUAUUUGGAGAGAACAUCUUUUGCCACAGAUAAGCAAGCCAACUUACAAGUGAGCACAAGUAAUUUUAUUUUAAUGUAAUCACCAUCACAGUUUGCCUUUAAUGGAUGAUCAAAAAUUCACAACUUAUUAUUUUCAUACUUUGCAUACAUUCAGAUAAGGUGCACAACUUCAUAAAAACAAAUUAGUGUCAGGACUUGCAGUUCUGUAUGUCUUGCUUGCCCUGUAUAAGCAAUACCAAACAAAGCCAAACAAGCUGUUAGCCUGUUCCUAUGUUGCAAUCUUGUGGAAUAUUAUAUUCCGUAGAAGUGUCAAUUCCUUUUAGCCCCAAGAGUUGCUCAGAUUUCUGCUUCUUUAAGGGUUUUUCCAUUAGGAAAAUAAAUUGAUGAAAUUUGA